rnacentral:rRNA from 1 species
AGCGGAGGAAGAUCCGUAGGUGAACCUGCGGAUAUGCAUAUCAAUAAGCGGAGGAAGAUUCCGUAUGUGCGCAUGAGGAUCCCAUAUCAAUAAGGGGAGGAAGCUUCUGGAGGAGCGGAUGAGGAUUCCGAUGUCGAUAAGCGGAGUAGGAUUCUGGAUGAGCAGAUGAAGAUUCCCAUGGCGAUCUUUGCGUGCACAUCGCGCUAUAUUGGGAUUCCAUGCUCGCAUGCCUGUUCGAGCGUCAUUUGUACCUUCAAGCUCUGCUUGGUGUUGGGUGUUUGUCUCGCCUUUGCGUGUAGACUCGCCUUAAAACAAUUGGCAGCCGGCGUAUUGAUUUCGGAGCGCAGUACAUCUCGCGCUUUGCACUCAUAACGACGACGUCCAAAAAGUACUUUUUACACUCUUGACCUCGGAUCAGGUAGGGAUACCCGCUGAACUUAAGCAUAUCAAUAAGCGGAGGAAGAUUUCGG